AACUAUAACGGUCCUAAGGUAGCGAAAUUCCUUGUCGGGUAAGUUCCGACCCGCAUGAAAGGCGUAAUGAUUUGGGCACUGUCUCAACGAGGGGCCCGGUGAAAUUGAAAUACCUGUGAAGAUGCAGGUUACCCGCGACUGGACAGAAAGACCCCAUGGAGCUUCACUGCAGCUUGAGAUUGAAUCCCGGUGACAGAUGCACAGGAUAGGUGGGAGGCGCCGAAGCAUUGCCCUAGGGCGGUGCGGAGCCGAUGUUGGGAUACCACCCUUCUGUUGCUGAGAUUCUAACGCGAGGAGUAACGACCCUGCGGACCCUCUCAGGCAGGCGGUUUGACUGGGGCGGUCGCCUCCGAAAGAGUAACGGAGGCGCCCAAAGGUUCCCUCAGGCCGGACAGAAACCGGCCGAAGAGUGCAAAGGCAGAAGGGAGCUUGACUGCGAGACCAACAAGUCGAGCAGAGACGAAAGUCGGGCUUAGUGAUCCGGUGGUACUGAGUGGAAAGGCCAUCGCUCAACGGAUAAAAGCUACCCUGGGGAUAACAGGCUAAUCUCUCCCAAGAGUUCAUAUCGACGGGGAGGUUUGGCACCUCGAUGUCGGCUCAUCACAUCCUGGGGCUGGAGUAGGUCCCAAGGGUUGGGCUGUUCGCCCAUUAAAGUGGUACGCGAGCUGGGUUCAAAACGUCGUGAGACAGUUUGGUUCAUAUCCAUCGCGGGCGCAAGAAGUUUGAGAGGAGCUGCUCCUAGUACGAGAGGACCGGAGUGGACGGAUCAACGGUGUCCCAGUUGUCACGCCAGUGGCACGGCUGGAAAGCCGCAUCCGGGAAGGAUAAACGCUGAAAGCAUCUAAGCGCGAAGCCAACCUCAAGAUGAGACUUCUCAUCAGCAAUGAGUAAGACCCCUUACAGACGAUGAGGUAGAUAGGUUAUGAGUGGAAGAGCCGCAAGGCUUGGAGCGACAUAAAACUAAUAGGUCGAGGUCUUAACUUA
rnacentral:rRNA from 2 species